AAUCCAUCAAAGGUUUACAGGUUGUUUGAUCAACGUUUCGACCCGUUCGGGUCUUGAGGAAGACACGAACGGGUCAAAACGUUGAUCAAACAACCUGUAAACCUUUGA